rnacentral:rRNA from 1 species
AUUGAACGCUGGCGGCAUGCCUUACACAUGCAAGUCGAACGGCAGCACGGGAGCAAUCCUGGUGGCGAGUGGCGAACGGGUGAGUAAUAUAUCGGAACGUGCCCAGUAGUGGGGGAUAACUGCUCGAAAGAGCAGCUAAUACCGCAUACGACCUGAGGGUGAAAGCGGGGGAUCGCAAGACCUCGCGCUAUUGGAGCGGCCGAUAUCAGAUUAGCUAGUUGGUGGGGUAAAGGCCUACCAAGGCAACGAUCUGUAGUUGGUCUGAGAGGACGACCAGCCACACUGGGACUGAGACACGGCCCAGACUCCUACGGGAGGCAGCAGUGAGGAAUAUUGCACAAUGGGAGGAAUCCUGAUGCAGCGACGCCGCGUGCGGGAUGAAGGGGCUUAGCCUCGUAAACCGCUGUCGGAGGGGACGAAUGGGUACAUUUGAUGUACUGAGACGGUACCCUCAAAGGAGAUCGGCUAACUACGUGCC